ACAUGUCUACAACAUAGUGUUAAUGCAUAGGAUCCCAUUAGAAAUCUACAGUUAAGCGUGCUUGGGAUAGAGUAGUACUGGGAUGGGUGACCACCUAGGGAGUCCUAGUAUUUUACAUGCC
rnacentral:rRNA from 1 species